rnacentral:tRNA from 1 species
GGCUGUAGCUCAGGGGCAGAACACUUGCCUAGAAUGUGAGAGGCACUGGGUUCGAUCCUCAGCACCA